GAUGCAGCGCUCAGGUGACUGUGACUCAGCCUCCAGUGGUGACAUUUACUCCAGGAUCCACUGUCACUCUCACCUGUAAGACCAGCCAAGCUGUUUAUAGAAAUAGUAAUGGAGAUUAUAUGUUCUGGUAUCAACAGAAAUCUGGACAGCCUCCCAAGCUCCUAAUAAAAUUUGUGAGCACACGUGAAUCAGGAACACCAGCUCGGUUUAGUGGCAGUGGAAGCAGCUCUGACUUCACUUUGACCAUCAGUGGAGUUCAGACUGAAGAUGCAGCAGUUUAUUACUGUCAGAGUCUCCACAUCACCAACAGUGCUGAAGUGUUCACACAGUGA